UACAGAGGGUGCAAGCGUUAAUCGGAAUUACUGGGCGUAAAGCGCGCGUAGGUGGUUUGUUAAGUUGGAUGUGAAAGCCCCGGGCUCAACCUGGGAACUGCAUCCAAAACUGGCAAGCUAGAGUACGGUAGAGGGUGGUGGAAUUUCCUGUGUAGCGGUGAAAUGCGUAGAUAUAGGAAGGAACACCAGUGGCGAAGGCGACCACCUGGACUGAUACUGACACUGAGGUGCGAAAGCGUGGGGAGCGAACAGGAAUUAGACUACCCCGUGUAAGUCCGA
rnacentral:rRNA from 1 species